GCACGAGCUCGACUGGCAUUUCCGGGCGCCCUGUGUGACGUCACGGCGAGGCGCGGCAGCGGUGGCUUAGGGGCUAUUCCUCCCUCAGCAACUCGGCGAGUAGAAGGGACAUGGAGCCGUGAAUCAUUUGACGCUCGUGUUUGCGUUCUUAGGGCUUGCUGAAUGAAGUCUGGUCGCUUGAGGAUGUCUUGGCUCGAAGUCCCAAGUUGCGCACACUCGGCGAGGGCGAUGAGGGUUUCGCAUACGUGAGGGUAGGCCCGAGAGUGAAGGAGAAUUGAAGUGGAAGUCAGUGUUAAUCACUCAGUCGUCUCCCACUCUUUGCGACCCCAUGGACUGUAGCCCGCCAGGUUGCUCUGUCCGUGGGAUUCUCCAGGCAGGAAUACUGGAGUGGGUUGCCACUUCCUCCUCCAGGAGAUCUUCCCGACCGAGCGAUCGAACCCAGGUCUCCUGCAUUACAGGCAGAUUCUUUACUGCCUGAGCCAUUAAGAUGGAAACUAGCCCCCAUACAGUUAGCGGUCAGGGUCUCAGAGAGUUUGAGAGGCGAAUGAGGUGGGAGCUGGGCGGUCCCAGGUGGUUAUCCUCUAAGAUUGGCCAGUCUGUGCAACUUAGUGCCAGGGACCGCCACAAGAACAUUCUGCUGCUUCUUGAACACAUGAAGACAUUGAGGGUAGAACUGUCCUCAGGAAAUUGAUGGAGGAAGUGGCCCUUGGAAAAUCUGAGAGGUCCUGUUGAUUGGGAACAUUGGUCCCAGCAGUGUGUGUAUUUGGAUAGAAUCCUCUUACAAUAAAACAUGCUGAGGUGUCUGUGAUGGA